UGAGUAACACGUAUGCAACCUGCCUGCCACAGCCGGAUAAUCGGGAGAAAUUCCGUCUAAUACGGCAUAAUGCAUCGACGGGACAUCCUGUUGGUGCCAAAGGUUAAUUCCGGUGGCGGAUGGGCAUGCGUCGCAUUAGUUAGUUGGCGGUGUAACGGACCACCAAGACGACGAUGCGUAGGGGUUCUGAGAGGAAGGUCCCCCACACUGGUACUGAGACACGGACCAGACUCCUACGGAAGGCAGCAG
rnacentral:rRNA from 1 species